AGAGUUUGAUCCUGGCUCAGGAUGAACGCUAGCUACAGGCUUAACACAUGCAAGUCGAGGGGCAGCAUGAUUGAAGCUUGCUUCAAUUGGUGGCGACCGGCGCACGGGUGAGUAACGCGUAUCCAACCUUCCGUACACUCAGGGAUAGCCUUUCGAAAGAAAGAUUAAUACCUGAUGGUAUGAUGAGAUUGCAUGAUAGCAUCAUUAAAGAUUUAUCGGUGUACGAUGGGGAUGCGUUCCAUUAGGUAGUAGGCGGGGUAACGGCCCACCUAGCCAACGAUGGAUAGGGGUUCUGAGAGGAAGGUCCCCCACAUUGGAACUGAGACACGGUCCAAACUCCUACGGGAGGCAGCAGUGAGGAAUAUUGGUCAAUGGACGAGAGUCUGAACCAGCCAAGUAGCGUGAAGGAUGAAGGUCCUACGGAUUGUAAACUUCUUUUAUAAGGGAAUAAACCCUCCCACGUGUGGGAGCUUGUAUGUACCUUAUGAAUAAGCAUCGGCUAACUCCGUGCCAGCAGCCGCGGUAAUACGGAGGAUGCGAGCGUUAUCCGGAUUUAUUGGGUUUAAAGGGAGCGCAGACGGGUCGUUAAGUCAGCUGUGAAAGUUUGGGGCUCAACCUUAAAAUUGCAGUUGAUACUGGCGUCCUUGAGUGCGGUUGAGGUGUGCGGAAUUCGUGGUGUAGCGGUGAAAUGCUUAGAUAUCACGAAGAACUCCGAUUGCGAAGGCAGCACACUAAUCCGUAACUGACGUUCAUGCUCGAAAGUGUGGGUAUCAAACAGGAUUAGAUACCCUGGUAGUCCACACGGUAAACGAUGGAUACUCGCUGUUGGCGAUAUACUGUCAGCGGCUUAGCGAAAGCGUUAAGUAUCCCACCUGGGGAGUACGCCGGCAACGGUGAAACUCAAAGGAAUUGACGGGGGCCCGCACAAGCGGAGGAACAUGUG
rnacentral:rRNA from 1 species